rnacentral:rRNA from 1 species
AUUGAACGCUGGCGGCAUGCCUUACCCAUGCAAGUCGAACGGUAACAGGUCUUCGGAUGCUGACGAGUGGCGAACGGGUGAGUAAUACAUCGGAACGUGCCCGAUCGUGGGGGAUAACGAAGCGAAAGCUUUGCUAAUACCGCAUAAGGUCUACGGAUGAAAGCAGGGGACCGCAAGGCCUUGCGCGAACGGAGCGGCCGAUGGCAGAUUAGGUAGUUGGUGGGAUAAAAGCUUACCAAGCCGACGAUCUGUAGCUGGUCUGAGAGGACGACCAGCCACACUGGGACUGAGACACGGCCCAUAGUCCGACGGGAGGCGGCAGUGGGGAAGUUUGGACAAUGGGCGCAAGCCUGAUCCAGCCAGGCCGCGUGCAGGAUGAAGGCCUUCGGGUUGUAAACUGCUUUUGUACGGAACGAAAAGACUCUGGUUAAUACCUGGGGUCCAUGACGGUACCGUAAGAAUAAGCACCGGCUAACUACGUGCCAGCCGCCGCCGUAAAAC